rnacentral:rRNA from 1 species
CCUACGGGUGGCAGCAGUGAGGAAUAUUGGUCAAUGGGCGAGAGCCUGAACCAGCCAAGUCGCGUGAGGGAGUACUGCCCUAUGGGUUGUAAACCUCUUUUGUCGGGGAGCAAAAGCCGGACGUGUCCGGCUGUGAGAGUACCCGAAGAAAAAGCAUCGGCUAACUCCGUGCCAGCAGCCGCGGUAAUACGGAGGAUGCUAGCGUUAUCCGGAUUUAUUGGGUUUAAGGGGUGCGCAGGGGGAUUUUAAAGUCAGCGGUAAAAUCGUGGGGCUCAACCCCAUCCAGCCGUUGAAACUGGGGAUCUAGAGUGUGCGAGAGGUAUGCGGAAUGCGUGGUGUAGCGGUGAAAUGCAUAGAUAUCACGCAGAACCCCGAUUGCGAAGGCAGCAUACCGGUGCACAACUGACGCUCAGGCACGAAAGCGUGGGUAUCGAACAGGAUUAGAUACCCGGGUAGUC